CGAUAAUAUGUUUGUCGGUUCUACUAUACACUUCCAUUUCUGAGUUGUCGUUACUAUAAAUGAUAUAAUAAUUAUUUGUCUGCUAUUUAUAAUAAUGACUGUUUUAGGUGUAUACCUGUGUCUUAUUGAAUUGUUUGUAUACGUAUUGCACAGUUGAUCGACACAAAAAUGCAACGUUCAAGUACGUCCUUGAAUCUUAAAUAUAUAUUAUGUACAGUUAUGGAGUGAUGCCGAAUUAUCAUUUUUCUAAUUUGUUACGAAAUUAAAUUGUGUUGAUUUAUACCCUUCAUAUUAAAUCAAGUGGACGUAAUUAAUUUUUGAAUUCGUUAGCAUAUAAGUAUGUUUUUACAUUUUUGUUUGAUACUAUAUAUAUAUAUAUAAAUAUGUAUGACGAUUUUUUAUCGUUAUUAUACUUACCUGUUUACAAUUUUCGAUUAGGUAAAAUUAGAUAAAAUCUGAAGUGUAUACCAACGAAAAUGUCACUGUGGCGUAUGCAAGUCGGAAAAAAGUAUUAUGUUAAUUGUGUAAUUUAAAUUUGUCGACCGUGGAUUAGGAGUUAUGGUACCGUAAAUAAGAUGUAUACAAUUCUCUUGUGCGCUUAUAGUAAACUAUAUUGCGAUGUCCUUCAAAUAAUUUAAUACACACGAAUGAUAAUAUAUUAUGUGUAUACAAUAUAUUAUAUCGAGUGUAUCCCGAACAAAUAUACAAAAAUAAUAUUGUAUAGAACGUGGCAAAUACAAUAAAUUUAAACGUAUCCUAUAUGUAUAGACGAUAUUUUAU